rnacentral:lncRNA from 1 species
AUCGAUCACAUCGAUGCCCUGAAUCUGAUCUAACCUUUAGAUCAUAUUGGUUGAGUUCAAAACUCAUCAUCUUUUCAUGGAUCAAUGAUCUUCACUACUGGUAGGCAUGGUAUGAAGCUCUCACUAAUAUCGAGCAGCCGCACAGGUCGUCCGAUCUCUACAGAUCAUCCACUCAUAUUUUUGAUCGGAUCUUCCUUCGUGGGAGUGCUAGCUCGCAUCAAAAGCUCUGGAUGGUUGAUUCAAGCUCUUUUCUUCAGAUGUCUUGGACUCAUUUAGAUCAGAAGAUGAAGCUUUAUGAGGAGGUGGUGGUGUGAAAGAUUGGACAAGACUCACUCUUGUAUUUUCUUCUCACAAAAUCUAGAGUUAAAACCCUAUAACCCAUAGCUCACGCC